rnacentral:lncRNA from 1 species
GAGAGGACGGGUGUGUGGGAGUGUGCAUGCUAUGACUGCAGAGCUGGACUUUGAGGCCUGGCUUGAGCUUGAAUUUCACCCUCUAUGCAACUGCUGAAUAAGACAAGCCUGCAAAUGGACAUGCACAAGAAACAAGAAGAAAUCAUGUUUAUUUCAUCUAUAUUCUGCACUAUGGAUCUGUAUUCUGUUUGCAUAACGAAAACUGUGGACUGUAAUUGUCUGAAAAUGAAUGGCAGCUUGGCACCAUUCAAGUCAUUCAAAAGCAGCAGAAGCUUGACUAAUCCUACAGUGGAUUCUACCAUUAUGUUUUUUCUCAACCAAGAAGUCAAGGGCCGGGCUGGUGCACUGCUCCCAGAGUUAGUUAAGUGCUAAACUAAAAGUGCUUGACAACACUACAGGGAGCUGCAAAUCUACAAGCCCAAAAUGAGAAGAAAAACAAAUAUAUUUUCUGAACUAUGGAUUACUAUUAUUUUUGUAUGGAGAAGAAGUCAUGAUCGGAGCAUGGUAGGAAAAUUUUCAUUUCAAUAAACAUUUCUCUU